GACAGAGGGUGCAAACGUUGUUCGGAAUUACUGGGCGUAAAGCGUGCGCAGGCGGUUAUGCAAGACAGAUGUGAAAUCCCCGGGCUUAACCUGGGAACUGCAUUUGUGACUGCAUAGCUAGAGUACGGUAGAGGGGGAUGGAAUUCCGCGUGUAGCAGUGAAAUGCGUAGAUAUGCGGAGGAACACCGAUGGCGAAGGCAGUCCCCUGGACCUGUACUGACGCUCAUGCACGAAAGCGUGGGGAGCAAACAGG
rnacentral:rRNA from 1 species